AGGCUCAGUGCUUUAAGGGGUAGUCCCAAGUCCUCUGCUGAAGCAGUUGGUGCAGGUCUUGAUGAAGAUCACGGAUGUCAUUUUCAAUCAGAUGAGAAUCUAGCCUGAGAAGUUCCCAGCUAUAAGGGAGAACUAAGCAAGUCUUCAAAUUUUAGUUAGGAAAUAAACACGAGGUGGAUGGAUGCUCGCUCUACGGAAAGCUGAGGGACUCCCUCCCCACUCUGCAACUGCCGGAUGUUUUGAAAUGGAAGAUUUUACUCCAAGUAAAGCCCAAUGAGUUCCUCUCUCUCCCAUGGCAAGGGAAACCACAGGGGCUUUUACCACCACCAGAUCCUUUCAAGCUGAACCAGCUGCAGGACACUGAAGGGCACUGAAAGGAACGAGUCAAGCACCUCUCUAGCUACCGGACUGCAUCAAGAAGGCACAACAUAAGCAAUGGUAAAGUCAGUAAACAAAAUUUUACUGUAAUAUUUGUAACACAGAUACUGUAUUUCUCUUUGAAGUGUAAAGCUACCGUCUUACACAAGAAAGAUGGACAGACCCUUUUCCAAGACUAAUAUGGAUACAAUAAAUAUGGAGUUUUACAUACUAGAUCUGUACACAGAAACUUUGUCCCACAGCCAUAAAAAUUUACAUUUAACAGUGCAACAUAUAAUUUAAUCCUUUAUUUAUCUGACAUAGGAUGUUUACUUACUAAACACAAGCAACUACCUGUUUUAAUAUACAUAUUUUAUAUAUAUAUAUUUUAUAUAUAUAUAUUCAACAAUCUGUACAGGUUUCUAAACAUAAAACUCCAAAAAGGCACAAUCGUCUAUACAACAUGUACAAAAAUGGCUGGAGCUGACAAGAAACAACAAUUAUUGGUCAAGAGUUCAUGAUUGCACGAAGAUUAGUAAUGGG